rnacentral:rRNA from 1 species
UACAGAGGGUGCAAGCGUUAAUCGGAAUUACUGGGCGUAAAGCGCACGUAGGCGGAUUGCUAAGUCAGGGGUGAAAUCCUGGAGCUCAACUCCAGAACUGCCUUUGAUACUGGCGAUCUUGAGUCCGGGAGAGGUGAGUGGAACUGCGAGUGUAGAGGUGAAAUUCGUAGAUAUUCGCAAGAACACCAGUGGCGAAGGCGGCUCACUGGCCCGGUACUGACGCUGAGACGCGAAAGCGUGGGGAGCGAACAGG